UUAGGAAUAUUCGUCAAUGGGGGAAACCCUGAACGAGCGACGCCGCUUGAAGGACGAAGCCUUUCGGGGUGUAAACUUCUGAACUCGGGACGAUGAUGACGGUACCGAGCUAAUAGCACCGGCUAACUCCGUGCCAGCAGCCGCGGUAAUACGGAGGGUGCGAGCGUUACCCGGAUUUACUGGGCGUAAAGGGCGUGUAGGCGGUUUGUUAAGUCCGAUGUGAAAGACCGGGGCUCAACCCCGGGAACGCGUUGGAUACUGGCAGACUAGACGGCUGGAGGGGGUAGCGGAAUUUCCGGAGUAGCGGUGAAAUGCGCAGAUACCGGAAGGAACGCCAAUAGCGAAGGCAGCUACCUAGACAGCACGUGACGCUGAGGCGCGAAAGCAUGGGGAGCAAACC
rnacentral:rRNA from 1 species